GACGAAGUUCUGCUAGUACACAACCAUAAAAACAAUAAAUCCAAUUUGCAUAAAGUGAAGCAUUCACGUGUCUCUGUCUUUGUCUCUAUCCAGAGCCAGGGUAGACUAUAUUACGCCGUCCGGUGCGCUAAUUCUAUUCAAAGCACACGGAGUCUCGCUCUCACCGACUUGAAUGACCAUGCCCCUGUGUUCGAUCCCCGGGGAUACACCAAAACAGUGUCUGAGAGUCUCGCGGUGGACUCAGUCGUAAUCGAGGUAUUCGCCACGGAUGCAGACGCCGCACAAGCAAACAACAAGAUUACAUAUUCCAUAACGCCUCCCAUGAGCGAGUUUAAGUUUGGACCCGAAAAUGGAGUGAUCGUCUUGAAAAAGCGUUUUAACUUUAACAUAGUCUCUGAUUACUCAUUCACGGUGGAAGCCCGGG